UCUAAUUGCAAGGAAACUGUGUCUGCAGCAGCAGUCAAGUUCACACAGACUGUAUACCCUGGAUCAGAAUACUGUUCCCUUCAUUCUGUGUUUUGUUUGUUUACAUAAGGCUUCAACUUACGGACAUAGUUCUUCUGCUUCCACACUUACCUUGGAACCUCCAGUCUUUAAUAAAUGCUGAAUAUGGAGAAAGUUUCAGUGAGUUGUGGCCAGUGGACAGCAGUCCGCUUAGGAGUUAUUGUGAAGUUAAAAAUCCUGACAGGUCACAGAGGAGGCUGGGUGUCCAGCCAAAUCGAAGACUUCUGCCCCUAGACUUAGAACUAGACCUGCAAGAAAUGAAGCUAGCUUGAGCCCCUUUCAUCAGCUGUUUUCUUCACAGCUGGCAGCUUUUCCUCAGUUACUUCUCCUUUUCUCUUUCUUAUUUCCCUCUUUCCUCAUCUCACUUGCUCUUAGGAAAGGAGCCUUAAAAAAAAAACCUUAUUCACAUUAAGAUGUAAAUGACUGUCAACUUCCCAGGAGUCCCUGCAGACUAAGAGAGAACCCACACUAAGGAAUAAAGCCACAGUGGGAUUCCAGGCAUGCAGCAGCACCUGCUUAGAAGGCUCUGCCCUGCUCCUUCCUGCUCCAACUCCUAAGUGUCCUGAAAAAAGAAAGACCUUACAGGCCAUCUAGCCGUGCUGAUGAAAAUGGAGACCCUGAAUCUAAGGAAUUGAUAACAAUAAAGUGUCGCAUGGCCUGAAGAUAAAUCUGGAGGGACCUUCAAGGACUCAGACCUGAGUGCAGGGGAAGCUGGACCGGGAGAGCCAUGUGACUGGUGGGAGAGGCGAGGCUGUGAGCUGCUGAGACCCCCACCUGGUGACUAAGCCUUGUCACUAGAUCACGCUUGUCCUCCUGUUCCUUCAGGAGGAGGUUUCCCAGUUAGAAGAUGAGUCCUAACCUGCUGUGGAGAGACUAGUAAUUGUGGAGAAACUCGUCCGUAACGGAGGACAACACAUGCUCCAACAUCACCCGAGCAUUUAGAGGCCUC